AUUACUAUACCCCAGAUCAGUAGGACUGAAGUUUAAGAAAGCUAGCAUGAAAAGAAGAGCUUGAGAUGAAAAAGUGAACAAUGAAGGCACAUGUGAUUGAAUUCUUCCGUUGUACUCUUUUAUAUCUGACCUGUAAAAUCUAGGAAGUGUGAUUAUAUUUUGGGAAAAGGCAGCUAAAUUAAGUAAUAUAAUUCUGGUACUGCUAUACGUCUGGGAAGUGAGGAGCGUCUCUGCCUGGCCGCCCAUCGUCUGGGAUGUGAGGAGCCCCUCUGCCCAGCUGCCCAGUCGGGGAAGUGAGGAGCGUCUCUGCCCAGCCGCCAUCCCAUCUAGGAAGUGAGGAGCGCCUCUUCCCGGCCGCCAUCCCAUCUAGGAAGUGAGGAGCGUCUCUGCCCGGCCGCCCAUCGUUUGAGAUGUGGGGAGCGCCUCUGCCC
rnacentral:lncRNA from 1 species